rnacentral:tmRNA from 1 species
GGGGGCGUACCGGUUUCGACGGGGGUACGGAGGCGGGAUAAGCGGGCAGAGGAGCCUGACCUCUUUAAAACGGGCAAACUUAUAAAUUAAACAACAAUAACAAUUAUCAACUAGCGGCUGCUUAAAGCCGCUCGUCCAACCCGGAAGGACCACGAUCCGGGCCGGGGCGUGACUUAGUGGUGAACGUGAGCGCGGUAAGCUUUGCCCGCGCCAUGAAUAAUGAAGCUACAGAACCGUAAGGCGUGACGGUUUGCCUUUUGGAUUUCUGGAAAUAGCGACUUUGCUACAAUAACCGUCUGCGCCCGGAGAAAGUCCCUCCAAAGUUCUUUCGGACAGGGGUUCAACUCCCCUCGCCUCCACCA